rnacentral:tRNA from 1 species
GCCGAAAUAGCUCAGUUUGGAGAGCGUUAGACUGAAGAUCUAAAGGUCCUUGGUUCGAUCCCGGGUUUCGUCA